GCGGUCUGCUUAACACAUGCAAGUCGAACGGAAUCUUUCGGGAUUUAGUGGCGGACGGGUGAGUAACGCGUGAGAAUCUGCCUUCAGGUUCGGGACAACAGCUGGAAACGGCUGCUAAUACCGGAUGUGCCGAGAGGUGAAAGCUUAAGUGCCUGGAGAUGAGCUCGCGUCUGAUUAGCUAGUAGGAGUGGUAACGGCACCCCUAGGCGACGAUCAGUAGCUGGUCUGAGAGGAUGAUCAGCCACACUGGGACUGAGACACGACCCAGACUCCUACGGGAGGCAGCAGUGGGGAAUUUUCCGCAAUGGGCGCAAGCCUGACGGAGCAAGACCGCGUGAGGGAAGAAGGUCUGUGGAUUGUAAACCUCUUUUGAUAGGGAAGAAGACAGUGACGGUACCUAUCGAAUCAGCCUCGGCUAACUCCGUGCCAGCAGCCGCGGUAAUACGGAGGAGGCAAGCGUUAUCCGGAAUUAUUGGGCGUAAAGAGUCCGUAGGUGGGUAACCAAGUCAGCUGUUAAAUAGUGAAGCUUAACUUCAUAGAGGCGGCUGAAACUGGUUGUCUAGAGUGUGGUAGGGGUAGAGGGAAUUUCCAGUGUAGCGGUGAAAUGCGUAGAUAUUGGAAAGAACACCGGUGGCGAAAGCGCUCUACUGGGCCUGCACUGACACUGAGGGACGAAAGCUAGGGGAGCGAAAGGGAUUAGAUACCCCUGUAGUCCUAGCCGUAA
rnacentral:rRNA from 1 species